UGUUGUUUAAACAGUGUCUUUUGA
rnacentral:piRNA from 1 species